rnacentral:rRNA from 1 species
AGGACGAACGCUGGCGGCGUGCUUAACACAUGCAAGUCGAACGGAAAGGCCCUUCGGGGUACGUCGAGUGGCGAACGGGUGAGUAACACGUGGGUGAUCUGCCCUGCACUUCGGGAUAAGCCUGGGAAACUGGGUCUAAUACCGGAUAUGACUACGAAUCGCAUGGUUUGUGGUGGAAAGCUUUUGCGGUGUGGGAUGGGCCCGCGGCCUAUCAGCUUAUUGGUGGGUGAUGGCCUACCAAGGCGACGACGGGUA